AUUAGUAAAACGUAACCCUAAUUUUAUCAAAACUCAGUGUCAAUGUACCAAAUCAGACCCUGUGUUGUGCUUCUCAACUCUCUUUCGCUCACUCUCUUCUCUACACCGCGCGAACCUCCAUCAUUAGGGCUCCUCUUCAUCUUGGUAUGAGUUUACUUUUUGGCUCUCUUUACUCUCGCAUCCUGCCUCUCGCUCACUCUCUUCUCUUACAAGUCACGAAUAGAAAGAGGAAAAGGUCGAGGAGGAUGAGGAUGAGGGAUUCGAUGAUGCUUGUGUGGAAUGUGGAGUUGUUAUAGCAUCUUGGUUGCUGGUUUUUUUGCUGCAAGAAGGUUUUUGGUGGUCACUUGUUGAUGCUCUUAAGUCAAAUACUUUGAUCUUUUGCCUAAGGUAUGUUAUUUAAUUUCUUAACAUUGGAUGUUUAAUGCUAGUUUGUUUGUGUUGUCAUGGAUUGAAUGUUGUAUGAACUAAUGUCAUCAAUGGUUGUUAGUUGGAGUGUAAAUAUGUUGUAUAUAAUAUUCAAUGCUUGAUUAUAUGACAGAAUAUGGACAUCCGUCAAAUUUGCGGUUGGAUGUAUAAUAGAACCAUACCUAGCCAAAGGGAGCAUACAAGUGCAUUUUUUAAUGGACUAAAUGAAUUUUAGUUUUCA